rnacentral:rRNA from 1 species
GGUCCUUGCUUGUGUAGUGUAAUAUCUAAGUUUGGAACUGCGAAUGGCUCAUUAUAUCAGUUAUAGUUUAUUUGAUGAAGAGUACUACUUGGAUAACCGUAGUAAUUCUAGGGCUAAUACAUGAGAAAGUCCUCUGGUGAGGUGUGUUUAUUAGAAUGAAAACCAUAUGCUUCGGCAUGAUAGAGAGUAAUAGUAACCUAUCGUAUCGCAUGCUUAAUGUAGCGAUGAGUCUUUCAAGUUGCUGCCCUAUCAGCUUUCGAUGGUGGUAUGUGGGCCUACCAUGGCAGCGACGGGUAACGAAGAA